rnacentral:tRNA from 1 species
AGUCAUAUAGUCAAAAAAAAAAAUGAUAUUAAAUUGCAAAUUUAAAGGUAAAUUAAUUUUUAUGACUU